rnacentral:rRNA from 1 species
UAGGGAAUCUUCCGCAAUGGGCGAAAGCCUGACGGAGCAACGCCGCGUGAGUGAAGAAGGUCUUCGGAUCGUAAAAUUCUGUUAUUAGGGAAGAACAAAUGUGUAAGUAACUAUGCACGUCUUGACGGUACCUAAUCAGAAAGCCACGGCUAACUACGUGCCAGCAGCCGCGGUAAUACGUAGGUGGCAAGCGUUAUCCGGAAUUAUUGGGCGUAAAGCGCGCGUAGGCGGUUUUUUAAGUCUGAUGUGAAAGCCCACGGCUCAACCGUGGAGGGUCAUUGGAAACUGGAAAACUUGAGUGCAGAAGAGGAAAGUGGAAUUCCAUGUGUAGCGGUGAAAUGCGCAGAGAUAUGGAGGAACACCAGUGGCGAAGGCGACUUUCUGGUCUGUAACUGACGCUGAUGUGCGAAAGCGUGGGGAUCAAACAGGAUUAGAUACCCUGGUAGUCCACGCCGUAAACGAUGAGUGCUAAGUGUUAGGGGGUUUCCGCCCCUUAGUGCUGCAGCUAACGCAUUAAGCACUCCGCCUGGGGAGUACGACCGCAAGGUUG